rnacentral:rRNA from 1 species
CCUACGGGAGGCAGCAGUGAGGAAUAUUGCGCAAUGGGGGCAACCCUGACGCAGCGACGCCGCGUGAGUGAGGAAGGUUUUCGGAUCGUAAAGCUCUGUCAGAAGGGAAGAAGUGUUAUAUGGUUAAUACCCAUAUAAUUUGACGGUACCUCCACAAGAAGCCCCGGCCAACUACGUGCCAGCAGCCGCGGUAAUACGUAGGGGGCAAGCGUUGUCCGGAUUUAUUGGGCGUAAAGAGCUCGUAGGCGGCUCAGUAAGUCGGCCGUGAAAGCCCGAGGCUCAACCUCGGGACGCCGGUCGAUACUGCUGUGGCUAGGGUCCGGUAGAGGAGAGUGGAAUUCCCGGUGUAGCGGUGAAAUGCGCAGAUAUCGGGAGGAACACCAGUAGCGAAGGCGGCUCUCUGGGCCGGCACCGACGCUGAGGAGCGAAAGCUAGGGGAGCAAACAGGAUUAGAUACCCUGGUAGUCCUAGCCGUAAACGUUGGGCACUAGGUGUGGCGGAUUCAUUGACAUCUGCUGUGCCGUAGCUAACGCAUUAAGUGCCCCGCCUGGGGAGUACGGUCGCAAGGCUAAAACUCAAAGGAAUUGACGG